UACAGAGGGUGCAAGCGUUGUUCGGAAUUAUUGGGCGUAAAGCGCGUGUAGGCGGCAUGGCAAGUCGGGUGUGAAAACUCGAGGCUCAACCUCGAGAUGUCGGCGGAAACCGUCUGGCUAGAGUCCGGAAGAGGAGAGUGGAAUUCCUGGUGUAGCGGUAAAAUGCGCAGAUAUCAGGAAGAACACCUAUGGCGAAGGCAGCUCUCUGGGACGGUACUGACGCUGAGACGCGAAAGCGUGGGGAGCGAACAGG
rnacentral:rRNA from 1 species